rnacentral:rRNA from 1 species
UACGUAGGGUGCGAGCGUUUCCGGAAUUACUGGGCGUAAAGAGCUCGUAGGUGGUUUGUCGCGUUGUCCGUGAAAACUCACAGCUUAACUGUGGGCGUGCGGGCGAUACGGGCAGACUGGAGUACUGCAGGGGAGACUGGAAUUCCUGGUGUAGCGGUGGAAUGCGCAGAUAUCAGGAGGAACACCGGUGGCGAAGGCGGGUCUCUGGGCAGUAACUGACGCUGAGGAGCGAAAGCGUGGGGAGCGAACAGG